rnacentral:snRNA from 1 species
GGCUCUUGACCAGAUCAA